rnacentral:rRNA from 1 species
CUUUUACGGAGAGUUUGAUCCUGGCUCAGGACGAACGCUGGCGGCGUGCUUAACACAUGCAAGUCGAGCGCGAACUAGAGGUUGGAAGUUAGAGGUU